rnacentral:rRNA from 1 species
UUGGAGGGCAAGUCUGGUGCCAGCAGCCGCGGUAAUUCCAGCUCCAAUAGCGUAUAUCAAAGUUGUUGCAGUUAAAAAGCUCGUAGUUGAAUUUCGGGGUCAGUAGAUUGGUCAUGCCACUGGUAUGUACUGGUCUCACUGAUUCCUCCUUCCUGAUGAGCCGUAAUGCCAUUAAUUUGGUGUUGCGAGGAAUCUGGACUGUUACUUUGAAAAAAUUAGAGUGUUUAAAGCAGGCUAACGCUUGAAUACAUUAGCAUGGAAUAAUGAAAUAGGACGUUCGAUCUUAUUUUGUUGGUUUCUAAGAUUGACGUAAUGAUUAAUAGGGAUAGUUGGGGGCAUUAGUAUUCAAUUGUCAGAGGUGAAAUUCUUGGAUUUAUUGAAGACUAACUACUGCGAAAGCAUUUGCCAAGGAUGUUUUCAUUAAUCAAGAACGAAAGUUAGGGGAUCGAAGACGAUCAGAUACCGUCGUAGUCUUAACCAUAAACUAUGCCGACUAGGGAUCGGAUGAUGUUAAUUUUUUAAUGACUCAUUCGGCACCUUACGGGAAAC